rfam:Chlorocebus sabaeus isolate 1994-021 chromosome 6, whole genome shotgun sequence.
GCUGGGUGUGGUGGCUCACGCCUGUAAUCCCAGCUACUCAGGAGGCUGAAGCAGAAGAAUCACUUGAACCCAGGAGGCAGAGGUUGCAGUGAGCCAAGAUUGUGCCACUCAGUGCACUCCANNNNNNNNNNUCCUUCCUUCUUUCCUUCCCCUCCUUCCCCAGCCCCCGUUCUUUCUUUCUAUCUUUUUUUUUUUUGAGAUGGGUCUUGCUCUAUCACCCAGGCUGGAGUGCACUGAGUGGCACAAUCUUGGCUCACUGCAACCUCUGCCUCCUGGGUUCAAAUGAUUCUUCUGCCUCAG